GUCUAGGGGGUGCAGCAAUGCAUCACCGGCGGACGGGUGCGUAACGCGUGGGAAUAUACCUAUUGGUUCGGAACAACUGCGGGAAACUGCAGCUAAUACCGAAUGUGCCCUUACGGGGAAAGAUUUAUCGCCAAUGGAUUAGCCCGCGUCCGAUUAGCUAGUUGGUGGGGUAAAAGCUCACCAAGGCUCCGAUCGGUAGCUGUUCUGAGAGGAAGAUCAGCCACACUGGGACUGAGACACGGCCCAGACUCCUACGGGAGGCAGCAGUUGGGAAUCUUGGACAAUGGGGGAAACCCUGAUCCAGCCAUGCCGCGUGAGUGAUGAAGGCCUUCGGGUUGUAAAACUCUUUCGACGGGGACGAUAAUGACGGUACCCGUAGAAGAAGCUCCGGCUAACUUCGUGCCAGCAGCCGCGGUAAUACGAAGGGGGCUAGCGUUGUUCGGAAUUACUGGGCGUAAAGCGCGCGCAGGCGGCUAUCCAAGUCAGUGGUGAAAGCCCGGAGCUCAACUCCGGAACUGCCAUUGAAACUGUUUAGCUUGAGGAUGAGAGAGGUGAGUGGAAUUCCCAGUGUAGAGGUGAAAUUCGUAGAUAUUGGGAAGAACACCGGUGGCGAAGGCGGCUCACUGGCUCAUUACUGACGCUCAGGCGCGAUAGCGUGGGGAUCAAACAGGAUUAGAUACCCUGGUAGUCCACGCCGUAAACGAUGAAUGCUAGCCGUUGGGCAGCUUGCCGUUCAGUGGCGCAGCUAACGCAUUAAGCAUUCCGCCUGGGGGAGUACGGCCGCAGGUUGAAACUCAAAGGAAUUGACGGGGGCCCGCACAAGCGGUGGAAGCAUGUGGUUUAAUCGACGCACCGCGC
rnacentral:rRNA from 1 species